CUGUGAAGCGGAGCAAAUCUCAAAAACCGGUCCCAGUUCGGAUUGUAGGCUGCAACUCGCCUACAUGAAGUCGGAGUUGCUAGUAAUCGCGGAUCAGAAUGCCGCGGUGAAUGCGUUCCCGGGUCUUGUACACACCGCCCGUCACACCAUGGAAGUUGGGGGCGCCCGAAGUUGCCUAAGAAAUAAGGUACCUAAGGCGAAACCAAUGACUGGGGUGAAGUCGUAACAAGGUAGC
rnacentral:rRNA from 1 species